rnacentral:misc_RNA from 1 species
UGAACUCAAUGCUGAGAAGGCCUUGAUUCAAUUCCAGAGUGAUAAAUUAUUGAUGGCUCCACAGGAGAAAAAGAUGGCCUUGUGUGAAAUCUGCGGUUCUUUUCUAGUAGCAAAUGAUGCUGCAGAGAGGACUCAGUCUCACGUUGUAGGGAAGCAGCACAUAGGUUAUGGCAUGGUCCGAGACUUCAUCACAGAGUACAAGGCAGCUAAGGAGAAGGCAAAGGAAGAAGAGAGACUAGCUAUGGAGAAAGAAGCUGAAGAACAGAGGAAGAAAAGGGAGAAGGAAUAUGAAAAGAGGAGGUGGAGUGAUUCUGAUGAUAUGGACCAUUAUCAUAAUAGAGAUCGAUACAGGGAGAGGGACCGUAAUCGUGACCGUGAACGUGAUCAUAAAAGGUCACGAAAGUGGACUGGUAGAGGUAGUAGGGGUGGAGGAAAGGGAAUAGAUUGGAGGUCCAGGAGUGGAAGAGAUAGUGGCAGAGAUAGGUACCGUGACCGGAGUAGGUCACCCUCCCCUGUUAGACACAGUCACAGGAGAUCCCCU